rnacentral:lncRNA from 1 species
UUUCACCUCAAUUGCUUGAUUAUCAUUUUUUUGUUCUGUUAAAUUCAAAACAACAGGACAUAAAGACCAAGGCAUUCCACAUGAUCAUAUAUUACAAAAGAGUAAAGAAAAAUUCAGGGUGGGUGCACAUCGUGCACACACAUAAUACACCUGCUUUUCUUUUAGUAUAAAGAAUUGAAAUAUGGGAAACAACUGCAUCCACUGAGACAUAAACAAGCACACAGACAAAAAGAAAGAGGAGCGAGAGGGAGAGAGAGAGGAGGAGAGCAUUAAAAAGGUCCAAUGCAGCUGUUUUUAUCUCAAUAUCAAAUCAUUUCAGGGUAACAGUAACCUUACGAUGAUUGUUUUCAAUUGAAAUGGUCAAAAAUAAGUACAAAUAGCUUCUUAGCAAAGAGCAAUUUUGCUAGGAAUGUAUGGGAUUGGUUUGAGUGAGGAGGGGAAAACUGAAAACUAGCUGUCAUUUGUCUAUUAACUCAUUUACUGGUGAUAUUACCAGGCAGGCCUAAACUCCAUCCCACCAAAACAUCCUAAGAUUUCAGGUGGUCUUUUCAACAGCUCUUACACUAAACAGUCAUUAUCAUCAUUUUCACAAUUUCACAGUAGGGGAGACGGGUAAAUUGAGCCAUUUCUUAUAUUCAGCAUCACUCUGUCAACGAAAUAGUAUUAUUUCUAACAAAGAUAUCUACAUGUAUUUCAGGAUGUUGUGUAUCCCUGGAAAUAGUCUGAAUUAAUGUAAUGUAAACAUUACAGUUUUGAAAACAUAGUUUGUCCCAAAAAAAGUGGUCUCUUGGCACAAUUUAUCCUGGGUAUGGGAUAAGUUAAGCCUCCUACAAAUAUCUGUACUAAAUUAAAUAUUAUCAGUAUCUUUCUAAAACCAUGUCUAUCUUUAUUUCCAAAUACAUUUCAACACAAUCGCAUUUUUGUCUUUUAAUCAUUUUAAGCAUCUUUUAACAAAGGCUUAAUACCUAAGAAAAACAUUGUACCUUUUUAAAACACUUAUUAACAAAGGCCAGGCCCUGCUGUUACUUCAUAUCCCAGCGAUAAUGUCUUGCAUUAUGCCUUGGAAGAAAACACUUCAAUUUGCUCAACUAUUGGCUCAACUUACCCCAAGGUAAACAUAUUGACGAUAUUAGCCCACACAGUUACAAGGAUGCACUUCAUGCUAGGUUUAGGACCUCAUAUUGAAGCUUUUAGAGACCCCAACUGAUUUAUAGAACAUCUUAAAAUGAUCUACUUUGGUUUAGAUGCAAGCAUCAUGAAACCUCUAACACAGGGGUUCCCAAAGUGUUUUGUCCCGCGACCCCAUUUUAAAUAUUUAAAAUGAAUCGCGACCCCGCCAUAUAAAGACAAUAAUGUAAUCAAUUGACAAUGUUAACUUUCUAAUUGGGCUAUGACAGUCUAUUACAAAUCAGUCUGAAAGUAUUUUUGAAAGUAUUUAAUUCUGAUGGAAGUAUGGGUUGAAGUGACUAAAAUGCAUCAGAAAGGUAUUGGGAAGUUCAGAAGAUCAUCAGGCAAUACUUUUGUAUGAUCUUCUGUGUAGAAAAUAAUGUAUUGUUGAUGAUUUUCUUUUUUCCAACAGCCUGAUUUAUUGCCUGGUCUUGUCCACUCUGUUCUAUCGAGUCAUUGUAGAGGGAAACAAAAUACUUAAACCGUUAGAAAGAGACACACACUAGGAAGAAAACAGAAAUGGCUCUGUUUUUUACAACCACUUCUAGCGGCUACCGGAGGUUACGGACCUAAUGUUUUGGUUAUUUUCAGAGUUUCUCUCGCGACCCCAUUUUCAAAAAGACUCCUAGUUUGGGAAACGCUGCUCUGACACAAUGAAUUCAUUUGAUUUGGAUAAAAUCUGUUUGUUUUUUUGAUCUAACUUGCUUACCACUUUUUUAAUAUGGUUUCUUCCUUCACAGACUCCACGAAAUUACCUUCUUAAAUAUUUAGUCAAAUUAUACAUUUUGUUUAUGAUUUCCUUAACACAAGGGUUGCUCAACUUACCCCAUAGGCUCAACUUAACCCACUCUCCCCUAUUAUUUCAACCUCAUAGUGUGGAAAUAUAUAUAAAACACAAGAAAAAUCACGUUUGACUGCACUGGGCCUUUAAGAGAAGAAUUGUGAAAAUAACUAAAAACAACAGUAUUAUAAUUGUAGAAUACUGUUGCAUAGUUUGAAGCAAACGGGUGACAUUUAGAAUGAUAAUGAAUCUUAUUUACAAAAGGGGGAUAUGGAGAGUACAGCGAAUGUGUAUGUGUUGUGUCUGUAUGUUUGUCAGGUGAGACACACACUGAGGAAAAGUGCUGCUCGAAAGGCCCUCCAAGAACUUUUACAGACUGUUACUGUACCCACAGAAAAUGAGCUUCAAUACAAACCCUCACACACAUUCAUUAUUAUGCGCACACGCACACACAAUUCAAGGAACCACAGCGACGUAUUUAAUGAACAAUUUCAGCCAAUUUAAUUCCUCCCUUAUCUCUGAUGUUGCGGUUGUUUCUCUAAAACAACAGGCCUGACUGUUUCAGUAUCUCAGCGCUGUGGGAACAUGACCAUGAAGCCAAAACGCAUUUCACUUUAACACCAAGCCAUGCCGAGUGCCUGUCAGAAUUAGUCAUGAUUGCAUUAACGUCAGCACAGGACAGGGUGAUGAAACAACGGCUCAUCCAAAGUGCGAGAGAAAUUAGCAAAACACAUUUCAAAAGCUGUCAGUGUUAACACAGUUCAAGAUAACAAAACAAGACAGUGCUCUUUGAAAUGGUUGUACAAUUAUGUUCACGCCAAGCCAACCAGAAUGAGUGAUGGAAUGCGGUCACUCCAACAUGCUCAGAUCAACCAAUCAGCCGCCUUCUCGGGACAGGUCUCCUUGGGAACAGAGAUUCUGAAUAUCUCUCGGUCUAUGGAACUGCCUGGUUUCAACAGCAUAGCGAUGAAGAGAGACACCAGUUGAAAGCAGUGUUUAAGACGAGGCACAGCUGUGAUGGUCACAGUAACUGGGGAUGUAAACGACACCGACUCAGAGGAAGAAUAGAGGAGAAGCUCUCCUUCUCUCUCUUAUGUUUUACUCCUCUGGACCAGCAGCUCAACCCACAGAGUAGAGAAGAGACAAGCUAGGCUGCUGUAGAUACUAGCAGAAUACGAUUCAUUUGUUACCGAGAUCGAAUUCUUCUCUGGUACAAGAGCAAGUUAGCCAUGUGUUUUUAACUAGACAAGAGACAUAUGGCCUCUGAAACAUCUCUGCUCUGCCCCAUAGCCGUUGGUGACCGCACACACACGCACACGCACGCACACGCACACGCACACACACACACACACACACACACACACACACAGGUCGCACCGACAGAGCAACAGCCUUUCUAGGAAAAAACAACUAGCGGGAUAUCGAAAGAGAGGAAGACAGAAACCGUGGUGGUCAAUUUGUGUACGAGCCUCAAAGCAUCAACUAAAAAGAAACUACCAUAAUGGAUAGAACUGUUGAAUAAACCAGUGAAGAAUCGCAGCCAUCUAGAUGCUGCAGCUAGAAGAGAGGUUGACUGCUGUUUGGAAUUGACAGAUGAGCGCUGUCCUUGGAUGGAGGGAGAUGGAAUGAGAGAGGAGAGAAAGAGAGUUGAGGGAGGGCAAUGAGGAAAUCGAUUCAUGUGAUCGGUGUGAAAUGAGUUGAUGAGCAAAUGCCUACCUUGGUAAAGAGUGAUUCUCCGUGGCUGUGGCUGGAUGAUGGAAGAAACAGUGAACAGCGUGGUAUCAUAAUUACUUGUCAUUUGGUGGUGAAAUAGAUUCAGCAUGGGGGUACUGAUUUAGGAAUGUUAUUUCUAAAUGCCAACAAUAAAUAAAACCCCAAGUAAUGACUUCUCUCAUGGAUAAAUAAAACUAAUAUUAACUGCGAAACUAUUAUUGUGUUAUGCAUGAUAUACAGCAGUGUUGUGUGUAUGCCGUUUUUGUUGGUUAUCACAUCAGUCCUCUGUGGUGAGAUGGGGUAAAGUAGGAUGGUAGACUGCAUGGUUGCAGUGAGACACAUUGGGAAUGAACAAUGACACAGGAUACAGUCAAGAAGUACCUUAGCUAAUAACCAAGUAGGAAUCAUUCAACACUAGUGAUGAAGCACCCAACAGGGACCUGCUACCUACAGACACAACCCUUAAUUGAACAUAUCUUUGUGCAACUGAAUUUAAGUCCCAUUCACUCACACAUCCAUUCCAUAUCUUCAAGGCAGCAUCUUCUCAGUGUAUGUUUCACGGAGGACAGAAACGGAGUCAAAAUGUGUACGAGUUUGUACGUGCAACUUUUGUUUUGAAAGCAAGUCAACGUUUGGGAUGUCUCAUUCCAUACUUAACCAUGCAGAACAUUGAACACAUAUUAAACACUUAGCUUUUUUCCCAAAUGCAGGUAUAUUUUUCUUCUUUUAGUACAGCGUGGUUUAAGCUACACAGAACACGAAAGUACCAAUCAACCAGGUCGGACAUAUUGCUUUAAACCACAAAAUUGUUUAUACGUCAUGCAUGCCACAUAGAUGGUAUUAUGUUUAUACAAAAAUAACACCAGUGUCUAUUACUGUGCAUCAUAUCAAUGACAGAAAGUUAUUUUUCGGUCUUUUCUCAAUUAGAUACAAUUGAAAAUGUAUUAAAACACAAGAACUGGUUCGGGUAAAUAUCGUCCUACGUAAAAUAAGGGGUUAUGACUUUAAACUGUGAUAUUCCAGUUUUCAAACCUUUUUUUUUUUUAUUUACAACUGCGGAGAAGCUUCCCCAAAGAAAUCCCCCAAAUCGAAAGAAGAAAAAAAAGCUAUCUAAGAAAGAUAAGCUUUAGAGAAGCAAUGCAGUCCAUUACAGUUAACAGUUAUUGCACAAUGCCUUAGCAAUUUCAUUUUGUCAUACAUGAGUCAUUAUGGAGACCUGUGCAAUAAGAGGAAAAGGUCUUACAGAUUGGUCAGUAGCCACGGUGGGCUUAUCCAUCACAGAAACCAAACAUAGGCUUUAUGUGGUCGGUCUAGCCGUUCUUUAGUUCUCCCUCCACCUCAGACAUACAGACCUGUUGGUCUGCUUCUGUUGUACAGUUGUGCCAAGGUAAAAAAAAAUAAUUAAAAAAAAAAACAUUGGGGUGUUUCUAGAGGAUGGAGUAUAUGUUCACCUGUGGGAUGGAAUGGGAGGGCAACCAGUAAGAGAUCACAACAGCACAAACCAAGGCCAUGGCAAUAAAAGAGGGACAAUCUUAGUGACGCUUCAAACUCUUUGUAUUCUCUGUCCACGUUUACAUGCAAAAACAUUUGCUAUUUUGGGAAGAUGGAAAAUAAGGAAAACACCUUAACCUGACAAUAAUUGUUUAAAACAAUCUGUGCAAAAAUAAAAAGGACAGAAAAGCAAUGAUUGUACAAAGCAAGACUUUGGCAGAACAUUCUUAAAGCUAUGCUCGGUGAUCCCUGACUGAUUGCCCCCUUUUCAUUACCUAGAGUUAAAAGUUAAGUUCAAAAUCAUCCUAUGACAAUAUUUACACAUACUGAAUGUAUAAGCGCAGCCUUCCAAAUAGAGUACGUCAGAAGAAAAGAAAGGAUUCGAAUUGAAAAUGUGUCCCCAAAGUGAGACUGUCUAAUGGUCGAACGGACACCGCAUCGAAGGCAUCUAGUUUCUGUUUAUGGACAAAAAUAGGAAGAGGAAGUGAUGUCACUACCGGUUUAACAGUUCUAUUCUCUUCCCAUAAACAGUGUACUAAGCCAUUAGAAUUAAAAGGGUAAUGCUGAAUUUGGAUGAAAUUCAUACCCUCUUUGACAAGUCGACUAACGUCACUACACAGGCAUCUGAGAGCACCGAUCCUCUCACAAAAUAAGUUAAACUCGCAGUCAUAUUAGUCUGAAAGAACAGAAAAAAAUUAACAAAUAUAUUUAUAUAGAGAUUAAAAAAUAUAUAUAUAUAU